GAUGAACGCUGGCGGCGUGCUUAACGCAUGCAAGUCGAACGAAGCACCUUGAUUUGAUUCUUCGGAUGAAGAUCCUGGUGACUGAGUGGCGGACGGGUGAGUAACGCGUGGGUAACCUGCCUCAUACAGGGGGAUAACAGUUAGAAAUGACUGCUAAUACCGCAUAAGACCACAGCACCGCAUGGUGCAGGGGUAAAAACUCCGGUGGUAUGAGAUGGACCCGCGUCUGAUUAGGUAGUUGGUGGGGUAACGGCCUACCAAGCCGACGAUCAGUAGCCGACCUGAGAGGGUGACCGGCCACAUUGGGACUGAGACACGGCCCAAACUCCUACGGGAGGCAGCAGUGGGGAAUAUUGCACAAUGGGGGAAACCCUGAUGCAGCGACGCCGCGUGAGCGAUGAAGUAUUUCGGUAUGUAAAGCUCUAUCAGCAGGGAAGAAAAUGACGGUACCUGACUAAGAAGCACCG
rnacentral:rRNA from 1 species